GGGCAACAAAGAGCAAAUCCCAACCCACACAUGAAAACAAACUUCGACUCGGAGGGAUGUGACUCGAUGGAUCCACUGGAAGAGACAAGAUAAUGCUAUAGAGUCGAGACGCUUUCAAGUAAGCCCCGGCCACACGGAGACGAAACGGGUUGUAUCCGCUACAGUUCUCUAUCGUAUAGACGGUUCGUCCACAUGAGGCCGACACAGAAACGCGGAUAACGAUAACGGCUCCCAAGGUGGGUAGAUCUGCGGACGCAACGCUCUGGGGGGCCAAACGGCUCUGUGUGUACGUCCUA